rnacentral:misc_RNA from 1 species
UCAUCAUUAUUAUUAUUAUUAUUGACCUUUCCUUGGUUGAUUUUUCUCUUUAUGCAUGUUUGUAGUCAGUUAUUAAUUUAAAAAUGUAAUUAUUUUGUCAUGAAUGAAUGGACGGAUCUUGGUUGAUUUGGGUUUGUGAUUAUUGUCCUCGUAUUAUGAGAGUUCUUUGUCCUGAAUUAGUUUUCAGUUGGGAUUUCCUUGUUUCUUAUUGCUCAUCCAUGUAUGUAUAUAUUUGAUUGUGAUUGUUAUCUGAUGGAUGGAUCCUGUUUUGAUUUGGUUCGUGUUUGACAUGAAAUGCACUGUGUGUUAUGUCAUAUUUUAUUGCAUUCUCUUACAACCCAUGGAUGUUAAUAGAUCACAGGUUACGCUUAUUAUAUGCUUGUGAUGGUUGGCACGGUAUGUCUCAACUAUCAAACCUUAUUAGUUAUCGCCAUAUCUUGUUCUCCUUGCUAAUACACGUGUGGAAAUGCAUAUACAUGAACUGUAUUCAUUUAAUUGUGAUUUGAUUUAGGUAAUAUGUUAUGGCCUACUUUAUUUGUUGCCACAGUAAUGUUCUGCUGUUGAAUGUAUUCAUUUGAUUUAUAAAAAUUGGAUUUCGAUUGUUGUGUUUGGCAUGAUGAAUUUAUAGCUGAAUCUUAAUCAUUUGAUUUUUCAUGCAUGCGCAUCAUGUUUUGUUUUUAACCAAAGGGGUUUUGCCAUAGUAAAUAGAUUUGGGAUGGGCUUUCAAAAUCCUUAAUAUCUAAAUGCUGGGAGAUUAGGCUCCAAUGUUUGAGUUAAAGAUGAAAGUUUAUUUGGUGGAUUUUGCUUGUGGUAUUUUUUACAUCUAAUAUUUAAUCAUGGAAUUACAAUUUGGAUGAAUUAGUCUUUUUAGUCCUUGCAUGACAACUAUAUUUGAUUAAUGGGCAGAUUGAACCCCUGUUUUUCAAUUUUUUCACAAAAAAGUUCUAAAUUAAUUUUGGGCCCUUCCCAGCCACAUUUUGUGAAAAUUGUUUUUCAUUCAUUUGGAUGCCUCAUUUCAAUUUUUCUUCCUGAAAUUCCUUUGUUGAUGAGAUUUCUUUUUCUGGUUCCAAAUGCACAUCAUCUGUUACCGCGCAUCUAUAUUUUUUAGUGUCUGUUUCCUGGAUCAGGGUGUAGAAUUCUCUUUCAUUUUGAUUGUACUGUGUUGUGGUGGACCUGUUGUCCUUAUUCUCAGUAUGCUUCUGUGAUUCAGAUUGUUUAGGUAGGCGACUGGGGCCAAGGCUUCUGGGUAGAGUGGAUGAUUCAGGGAGGUUGGUUAAAGACUUCUAUAAGAUUCUCAAUCAAGUUAACAACGAGGAAAUCCCAGAUGGUCUAAAGCUCCCAGAUUCUUAUAACCAACUUGUAUCUGAAAUGAAGAGCAACCAGUAUGAUGCAAAAACAUUUGCUUUCAUGCUGAGGGCUAUGAUGGAGAAAUUCGAAAGGGAAAUCAGGGAAUCUAAAUUUUCAGAGCUGAUGAACAAACACUUUGCUGCAAGUUCCAUUCCCAAAGGCAUCCACUGUCUCUCUCUACGUUUGACCGAUGAAUAUUCCUCCAAUGCUCAUGCGCGCAAACAGUUGCCAUCUCCAGAGUUGCUUCCUUUGCUUUCUGACAAUUCUUACCAUCACUUUGUUCUGUCCACCGAUAACAUUUUAGCUGCUUCAGUUGUUGUCACUUCUACUGUCCAGUCAUCUCUAAAACCUGAAAAGAUAGUCUUUCAUGUCAUUACUGACAAGAAAACUUAUGCGGGUAUGCACUCAUGGUUUGCACUUAAUUCAGUCUCCCCUGCUACUGUUGAAGUGAAAGGUGUUCACCAGUUUGACUGGUUAACAAGGGAGAAUGUGCCAGUGCUUGAAGCUGUAGAGAACCAUAAUGGUAUCAGGAAUUACUACCACGGGAAUCACAUUGCAGGGGCCAAUCUCAGUACUACGACUCCUCGAAUGUUUGCUUCAAAAUUGCAGGCUAGAAGUCCGAAGUACAUAUCCUUGCUCAACCAUCUCCGCAUAUAUUUACCUGAGCUCUUUCCAAACCUUGACAAGGUGGUCUUCUUAGAUGAUGAUGUUGUCAUUCAGGGUGACUUGUCUCCUCUUUGGGAAAUUGACCUUGAGGGAAAAGUUAAUGGAGCCGUUGAAACUUGUAAAGGAGAAGAUGAGUGGGUAAUGUCCAAGCAUUUCAAAAACUACUUCAAUUUUUCUCAUCCCCUCAUUGCAAAGAAUUUGGAUCCCAGUGAAUGUGCAUGGGCUUAUGGAAUGAAUAUAUUUGAUCUGCGUGCUUGGAGGAAAACAAAUAUUAGGGAAACCUACCAUUCCUGGCUGAAAGAGAACUUGAAGUCCAACCUGACAAUGUGGAAACUCGGUACCCUACCACCAGCGUUAAUUGCAUUUAAAGGUCAUGUUCGCCCUAUUGAUCCAUCUUGGCAUAUGCUUGGUUUGGGCUAUCAGAACAAGACCAACAUUGAGAGUGUGAAAAAGGCUGCUGUUAUUCACUAUAAUGGCCAGUCAAAACCAUGGCUGCAGAUUGGCUUUGAGCAUCUCCGACCGUUUUGGACUAAGUAUGUUAAUUACUCCAAUGAUUUUGUGAGGAACUGCCACAUCUUGGAGUCAUAGCUGAUCAACCAUAGGUCCAUAGCUGCUAGAAACUAGAGGUGGAACAGGAAACAACACCAACGAUUUUUGGUCACAUUAGUUAUUUCAUGGCUCAGGAUUUUGUUGAGAUCUAUUGAGAAGGCAAGCAGAAUUUUGUCAAGAAGGGUAGUGUUUCAGGUCUGAAUUCACUGUCAUCCCUCACUAUUGCAUGAUAAGGCCUGCAUAUCAAUAGCACGGGCAUGAGAUUCAUUCUUUUGAUCUGUAACAUAGUAAUCCGUCAUUUAAUUUUUUGGCUGGAGAAAGGAUACUAUUAUUGGUCUUCCUGCAGGAAGUCUAGCCUGAUUUCUUGGCACUUAUGUUUUCCAAUAAAACGAGAUAUACACGAGCAUAUGUGAAUAUAUCAUGCUGAUUGGUGCAAGGAAGAGGAAGGCUAGUAUGGGUCUUUUGUGAGGGCUGCCACAUUAGCCCAAAAAUGUUCUCCCUUCAUUUUUUUUUUGUUCUCCUGUUGUUUCAUUUUUGUUAGCAUUUCCCAUUUUUUUCCAGUUACUUUGAUAUCAUGAUAGUGAAAUUUUAGGAGUAGGUAAUGGAGAUUGCUUUGUUACAGGCCCCAUUGUAGUUGGGGAACUGUUUGUAGCAGUAUUUUUUAUAUACGAUUCACGAUAUAUACAUUUAAAAUGUGCAGAAAAUUCUUUUUCCAAACUUCUUAUUAUGUCUCCAAUAAUUUUGUUAAGAAAUU